UACGUAGGGGGCAAGCGUUGUCCGGAUUUAUUGGGCGUAAAGAGCGUGUAGGCGGUUUGGUAGGUCCGCUGUGAAAACUCGAGGCUCAACCUCGAGACGCCGGUGGAAACCAUCAGACUAGAGUCCGGAAGAGGAGGGUGGAAUUCCUGGUGUAGCGGUGAAAUGCGCAGAUAUCAGGAAGAACACCCGUGGCUAAGGCGGCUCUCUAGUACGGUACUGACGCUGAGACGCGAAAGCGUGGGGAGCGAAAAGG
rnacentral:rRNA from 1 species